UUCAUGUCUUUUGUUUUAAAGAAUUAAAUGGAUGAAAUAUGAAGUUUUAUUAAAAGAAAAAGGGGUGAAAAGAACAAAGUUUUGUCCAUCUUUGUUCAUCAUAGCUGAAAGUUAGAGAAGAGAAAGGAGAGGAGAAAGCUCUUGAAUGCUCGGUCACUUGGGGAAGAAAAUUGAAGGUGGUUCGUGUGUGGAUCUCGUCAGCAUAUCGUCGCAAACAGGUAAUCCCCAAACAUAGUGGGCUUGAAGCUGUGAGGGAAUUCGGAGUGGCCACCUGUUCUGAAAGUUUGAUUUUCUUCUGGUGAACUGAACAUCCUUUUAUUUACGUUUGAAGUAUUGGGUUUUUAAAUGUAAUAAGGCCGCUUAAUUAUUUUUGAUGGUUUUAAUAUGUAUUACUAAGAUAGGUAUUACUUA